rnacentral:rRNA from 1 species
UACGUAGGGUGCAAGCGUUGUCCGGAAUUAUUGGGCGUAAAGAGCUCGUAGGCGGUCUGUCACGUCGGCUGUGAAAACCCGAGGCUCAACCUCGGGCCUGCAGUCGAUACGGGCAAACUAGAGUACUGCAGGGGAGACUGGAAUUCCUGGUGUAGCGGUGAAAUGCGCAGAUAUCAGGAGGAACACCGGUGGCGAAGGCGGGUCUCUGGGCGAGUAAACUGACGCUGGAGGAGCGAAAGCGUGGGGAGCGAACAGG